GAUGAACGCUGGCGGCGUGCCUAAUACAUGCAAGUCGAGCGAACGCACGAUGAGCUUUCUCCUCUGACGUUAGCGGCUGACGGGUGAGUAACACGUGGAUAACCUACCUAUAAGACUGGGAUAACUUCGUGAAACCGGUGCUAAUACCGGAUAAUAUAUUGAACCGCAUGGUUCAAUAGUGAAAGACGGUUUUGCUGUCACUUAUAGAUGGAUCCGCGCCGCAUUAGCUAGUUGGUAAGGUAACGGCUCACCAAGGCAACGAUGCGUAGCCGACCUGAGAGGGUGAUCAGCCACACUGGAACUGAGACACGGUCCAGACUCCUACGGGAGGCAGCAGUAGGGAAUCUUCCGCAAUGGGCGAAAGCCUGACGGAGCAACGCCGCGUGAGUGAUGAAGGUCUUCGGAUCGUAAAACUCUGUUAUUAGGGAAGAACAAAUGUGUAAGUAACUAUGCACGUCUUGACGGUACCUAAUCAGAAAGCCACGGCUAACUACGUG
rnacentral:rRNA from 1 species